rnacentral:rRNA from 1 species
UACAGAAUCCCCGAGCGUUACCCGGAUUUAUUGGGCGUAAAGAGUCUGUAGGUGGUAGAGUAAGUUGUAAAUUAAACUUCAUCGGCUUAACCUUUGAACUGUUUACAAUACUGCACUGCUAAGAGGGCGUUAGAGGCUAACGGAACCGACGGAGUAGGGGUGAAAUCCGUUGAUAUCGUCGGGAACACCAAAAGCGAAGGCAGUUAGCUGGGACGACCCUGACACUGAGAGACGAAAGCGUGGGGAGCAAAAAGG